UACAUGGGGUGCAAACGUUGCUCGGAAUUACUGGGCGUAAAGGGCGCGUAGGCGGCUUAUCGAGUCAGGCGUGAAAAUCCCGGGCUUAACCUGGGGACUGCGCUUGAGACUGAUGGGCUUGAAUUCGGGAGAGGAUGGCGGAAUUCCCAGUGUAGAGGUGAAAUUCGUAGAUAUUGGGAAGAACACCGAUGGCGAAGGCAAUCCCCUGGACCUGUACUGACGCUCAUGCACGAAAGCGUGGGGAGCAAACAGG
rnacentral:rRNA from 1 species